rnacentral:rRNA from 1 species
GAUUUGUCUGGUUAAUUCCGAUAACGAACGAGACUCUGGCCUAUUAAAUAGACGGUAUAUCGAAAAGUAUAUCGCGCUUCUUAGAGGGACAAGCGGCGUCUAGCCGCAUGAAAUAGAGCAAUAACAGGUCUGUGAUGCCCUUAGAUGUCCGGGGCUGCACGCGCGCUACACUGAAAGAAUCAGCGUGCGCUUUACCUAGUUCGGAAGAACCGGGUAACCCAAGUAAAUUCUUUCGUGCUUGGGAUAGGGAAUUGCAAUUAUUUCCCUUAAACGAGGAAUUCCCAGUAAAUGCGGGUCAUAAGCUCGCGUUGAUUACGUCCCUGCCCUUUGUA